CUGCUGCGUCCGAAACCGCCAAACGUUACUCAGUGAGCGGUGAACCCCCAAACCUACCGCAUCUCAACACAGCUGAGCCAGUUCUGCUGACCACCGCGUCCACCUUCACCUGUCUCUGCUGUCCAUCCCUCACUGCUGCAGUCACACUGAAUCUGAUCAUGGAUGAGUGUUGUGAACUUUUAUCUUCUAAAGUUUAGGCAACUCAGAAGUGAAGACCAUGGAGACUUCGGGUUGUAUCUUCAGCAGGAUUCUUUUAUUGAGAACACAAGCUGUUGGUAGCUGUAGUCAUCGAAAAUCUCAACUAAAGCAGUGAUACAUUGUAGUUUAAAUACAUUUAGGGGGCAGUGCUUAGGAAUGGAAACAAAGCACCUGGGUGACGACCUUAAAGCAUGCAAAUGAGGUAUUCAGGUAUAGCAUCCUGCCCCAUUUAACCACUCCUAAUCUAAUCAGCCUAACUGCCCAAAGAUUGGGGCAGGGGCAUCAAGAGCAAUUACAAACAAAAGGCAAGAGUCUCCGUCGUCUGGCUCAUUUCACUUACAAUAAGAGAACAGGAACUGGCAGGGACCUCUUGAAUCGUUCAUCUGAUGUCAUCAUCUUCACCAUAAAUGCUAAAUACAAUGUAUAUAACUUCUUCAGUUUGUACACUAUUACAUUGGAAUCUAAAUUAAACAUUUAAAUAAAUUUGUAAUCCCACAUGAGAAAGGGACAUCGAGGCUAUCAUUGUCUGAGAGCACAGAGAGGGUGAGGCUCCCCGUACCACACAAUCUUGAACAAGAGCAGAAGAACGCGUGCGGGACAAUCUGGCUGCCGCUCCUUCUGCUCCAAACAUCUGUGAGCUGCUCUCCACCUGUAACACAUUUAAACAGUAAAACGCUUUACAUCUCAUGUUGUCAGCAUUCCAUUUCUCGCCAAAUUUCAUUUCAUGUGUUUACAAUUACAUGCUAAUUUUUGAUGCAGCUUCAUUACUUCUGUGGUGUAGUGAACUGGUCAGCAGGAGGUUGCUGGUUCGAUCUCCGCAGUCAUCACCAUCAGUGUGUCCUUCAGCAGGGCUCUUUACUCCAGGUUGCUGCAGAGGAAUGGGGUCCCUGUAAUAAGAGCACUUCGUGACUGUUGAAGCAGGAAUAUCUGAAGGAGGAUCAUCUGAACUGAGAUCUGCUGCUGUGAAGAUGGUGUUUGUUAAAGAGGAGAGUGAGGAGAACAUGAUUGAACCAGAAACCUGCAGAAUAAAACAGGAGGAACCAGAAACCUGGAGAAUAAAACACGAGGAACCAGAAACCUGGAGAAUAAAACAAGAGGAACCAGAAACCUGGAGAAUAAAACACGAGGAACCAGAAACCUGGAGAAUAAAACACGAGGAACCAGAAACCUGGAGAAUAAAACACGAGGAACCAGAAACCUGGAGAAUAAAACACGAGGAACCAGAAACCUGGAGAAUAAAACAAGAGGAACCAGAAACCUGGAGAAUAAAACAGGAGGAACCAGAAACCUGGAGAAUAAAACAAGAGGAACCAGAAACCUGGAGAAUAAAACACGAGGAACCAGAAACCUGGAGAAUAAAACACGAGGAACCAGAAACCUGGAGAAUAAAACACGAGGA